AUGUCCCAUGUCCUGUGUCCCCCAUCCCAUGUCCAUGUCCCGUGUCCAUGUCCCAUAUCCCACAUCCCAUAUCCUAUGUCCAUGUCCCAUGUCCCGUGUCCCCCAUUCCAUGUCUAUGUCCAAUAUCCAUGUCUGUGCCCAUGUGUGCCCAUGCCCAUGCCCAUGUCCGUGGGGCAGGACGCAGCGCUGGCACGGGCCGCAGGCUUCCUGCGGGGCCGUGUGGAAACAGCGGGGCCCUUCGCAGCUGCCAUCGGCGCCUACGCCCUGGCCCUGAGCGACGCCCCGGGGCCCCCCGGGCCCCUGCUGCAACUCGCGCGGAGUGCCCACAGUGAGCCGGACACCUGGGUCCCUCCGUGGGGGGAGAAGUCCCCAUCACACUCCAACACCUGGGUCCCAUCGUGCUCCAACACUUGGGUCCCAACACACCCAGGCGCCUGGGUCCCCAGGGAGGGGGCACCCGGACGCCUGGGUCCCUGCCAUGGUGGUGGGGGAUGCCUGGGUCCCUGGGGGGGUGGCGGGUGCCCCAGAUGCCCAGGUCCCCCAUGGGUUGGUGACUUCCUGGACAUCUGGGUCCCUGGAGGUCAGUGGGUGCCCUGGAUGCCUGGGUCCUGGGGUGGUGGGGCGCACCCAGACGCCUGGGUCCCUGGGGCUUGGGGGUGCCCCGGACACCUGGGUCUUCCAUGGGUCGGUUGCUUCCUGGACACCUGGGUCCCUGGGGCAGUGGGGGACACCUGGACGCCUGGGUCCCUUGUGGGUCGGCAGCUUCCCAGACACCUGGGUCCCAGGAGGGUUGGUGGGUGCCCAAAACACCUGGGUCCCUGGAGGGUCGGUGGCUUCCCGGACACCUGGGUCCCUGUGGUGGUGGGGUGCACCCGGAUGCCUGGGCCCGCGGGGGACGCGCAAGGCUCCAUGACCCCACCCCGGACGCCUGGAUCCCACAGAUGGCUCGGCGCAGUUCUGGCCAGCCGGGGGGGCGGCCGAGACGGUGGAGGCCACGGGCUACGGGCUGCUGGCGCUGCUGAGGCUCAACGACGUGGCCGGGGCCCUGCGGGCGGCCCGGUGGCUCCGUGA
rnacentral:lncRNA from 1 species